rnacentral:rRNA from 1 species
GCUUGCACCUUAUCUUAGCGGCGGACGGGUGAGUAAUGCUUAGGAAUCUGCCUAUUAGUGGGGGACAACAUUCCGAAAGGAAUGCUAAUACCGCAUACGUCCUACGGGAGAAAGCAGGGGAUCUUCGGACCUUGCGCUAAUAGAUGAGCCUAAGUCGGAUUAGCUAGUUGGUGGGGUAAAGGCCUACCAAGGCGACGAUCUGUAGCGGGUCUGAGAGGAUGAUCCGCCACACUGGGACUGAGACACGGCCCAGACUCCUACGGGAGGCAGCAGUGGGGAAUAUUGGACAAUGGGGGGAACCCUGAUCCAGCCAUGCCGCGUGUGUGAAGAAGGCCUUAUGGUUGUAAAGCACUUUAAGCGAGGAGGAGGCUACUGAGACUAAUACUCUUGGAUAGUGGACGUUACUCGCAGAAUAAGCACCGGCUAACUCUGUGCCAGCAGCCGCGGUAAUACAGAGGGUGCGAGCGUUAAUCGGAUUUACUGGGCGUAAAGCGUGCGUAGGCGGCUUUUUAAGUCGGAUGUGAAAUCCCCGAGCUUAACUUGGGAAUUGCAUUCGAUACUGGGAAGCUAGAGUAUGGGAGAGGAUGGUAGAAUUCCAGGUGUAGCGGUGAAAUGCGUAGAGAUCUGGAGGAAUACCGAUGGCGAAGGCAGCCAUCUGGCCUAUUACUGACGCUGAGGUACGAAAGCAUGGGGAGCAAACAGGAUUAGAUACCCUGGUAGUCCAUGCCGUAAACGAUGUCUACUAGCCGUUGG